GAUGAACGCUGGCGGCGUGCCUAAUACAUGCAAGUCGAGCGAACGGACGAGAAGCUUGCUUCUCUGAUGUUAGCGGCGGACGGGUGAGUAACACGUGGAUAACCUACCUAUAAGACUGGGAUAACUUCGGGAAACCGGAGCUAAUACCGGAUAAUAUUUUGAACCGCAUGGUUCAAAAGUGAAAGACGGUCUUGCUGUCACUUAUAGAUGGAUCCGCGCUGCAUUAGCUAGUUGGUAAGGUAACGGCUUACCAAGGCAACGAUGCAUAGCCGACCUGAGAGGGUGAUCGGCCACACUGGAACUGAGACACGGUCCAGACUCCUACGGGAGGCAGCAGUAGGGAAUCUUCCGCAAUGGGCGAAAGCCUGACGGAGCAACGCCGCGUGAGUGAUGAAGGUCUUCGGAUCGUAAAACUCUGUUAUUAGGGAAGAACAUAUGUGUAAGUAACUGUGCACAUCUUGACGGUACCUAAUCAGAAAGCCACGGCUAACUACGUGCCAGCAGCCGCGGUAAUACGUAGGUGGCAAGCGUUAUCCGGAAUUAUUGGGCGUAAAGCGCGCGUAGGCGGUUUUUUAAGUCUGAUGUGAAAGCCCACGGCUCAACCGUGAAGGGUCAUUGGAAACUGGAAAACUUGAGUGCAGAAGAGGAAAGUGGAAUUCCAUGUGUAGCGGUGAAAUGCGCAGAGAUAUGGAGGAACACCAGUGGCGAAGGCGACUUUCUGGUCUGUAACUGACGCUGAUGUGCGAAAGCGUGGGGAUCAAACAGGAUUAGAUACCCUGGUAGUCCACGCCGUAAACGAUGAGUGCUAAGUGUUAGGGGGUUUCCGCCCCUUAGUGCUGCAGCUAACGCAUUAAGCACUCCGCCUGGGGAGUACGACCGCAAGGUUGAAACUCAAAGGAAUUGACGGGGACCCGCACAAGCGGUGGAGCAUGUGGUUUAAUUCGAAGCAACGCGAAGAACCUUACCAAAUCUUGACAUCCUUUGACAACUCUAGAGAUAGAGCUUUCCCCUUCGGGGGACAAAGUGACAGGUGGUGCAUGGUUGUCGUCAGCUCGUGUCGUGAGAUGUUGGGUUAAGUCCCGCAACGAGCGCAACCCUUAAGCUUAGUUGCCAUCAUUAAGUUGGGCACUCUAAGUUGACUGCCGGUGACAAACCGGAGGAAGGUGGGGAUGACGUCAAAUCAUCAUGCCCCUUAUGAUUUGGGCUACACACGUGCUACAAUGGACAAUACAAAGGGCAGCGAAACCGCGAGGUCAAGCAAAUCCCAUAAAGUUGUUCUCAGUUCGGAUUGUAGUCUGCAACUCGACUACAUGAAGCUGGAAUCGCUAGUAAUCGUAGAUCAGCAUGCUACGGUGAAUACGUUCCCGGGUCU
rnacentral:rRNA from 1 species